rnacentral:rRNA from 1 species
GACGAACGCUGGCGGCGUGCCUAAUACAUGCAAGUUGAGCGCUGAAGGUUGGUACUUGUACCAACUGGAUGAGCAGCGAACGGGUGAGUAACGCGUGGGGAAUCUGCCUUUGAGCGGGGGACAACAUUUGGAAACGAAUGCUAAUACCGCAUAAAAACUUUAAACACAAGUUUUAAGUUUGAAAGAUGCAAUUGCAUCACUCAAAGAUGAUUCCGCGUUGUAUUAGCUAGUUGGUGAGGUAAAGGCUCACCAAGGCGAUGAUACAUAGCCGACCUGAGAGGGUGAUCGGCCACAUUGGGACUGAGACACGGCCCAAACUCCUACGGGAGGCAGCAGUAGGGAAUCUUCGGCAAUGGACGAAAGUCUGACCGAGCAACGCCGCGUGAGUGAAGAAGGUUGUCGGAUCGUAAAACUCUGUUGGUAGAGAAGAACGUUGGUGAGAGUGGAAAGCUCAUCAAGUGACGGUAACUACACAGAAAGGGACGGCUAACUACGUG